AGUGAACGCUGGCGGUAGGCCUAACACAUGCAAGUCGAACGGCAGCACAGUAAGAGCUUGCUCUUACGGGUGGCGAGUGGCGGACGGGUGAGGAAUACAUCGGAAUCUACUUUUUCGUGGGGGAUAACGUAGGGAAACUUACGCUAAUACCGCAUACGACCUACGGGUGAAAGCAGGGGAUCUUCGGACCUUGCGCGAUUGAAUGAGCCGAUGUCGGAUUAGCUAGUUGGCGGGGUAAAGGCCCACCAAGGCGACGAUCCGUAGCUGGUCUGAGAGGAUGAUCAGCCACACUGGAACUGAGACACGGUCCAGACUCCUACGGGAGGCAGCAGUGGGGAAUAUUGGACAAUGGGCGCAAGCCUGAUCCAGCCAUACCGCGUGGGUGAAGAAGGCCUUCGGGUUGUAAAGCCCUUUUGUAGGGAAAGAAAAGCAGCAGGUUAAUACCCCGCUGUUCCGACGGUACCCAAAGAAUAAGCACCGGCUAACUUCGUG
rnacentral:rRNA from 1 species